ensembl:rRNA 5S_rRNA 5S ribosomal RNA
GCUUACGACCACACCGGCCUGAGUACGCCUGAUCUCGUCUGAUCUCGGAAGCUAAGCAGGGUCGGGCCUGGUUAGUACUUGGAUGGGAGACUUCCUGGAAAUACCAGGUGAUGUAAGCU